UUUAAAGCUUUCUGCUAUUUAUUGAUAUUAUUUUUUCAUUGUUGAAAGGCUCUUUUCUUUAAUAUUUUACUAUUUUCUUGUCCUAUUUUGAAGACAUUUAUAUAGUUUCAAAAAUAGUCUUGAAUAUUCAAAUAUUAAUUUAAAGAAAAUCAAUCUUGUUUUAAAGUCCAAUUCAGAACUUAUCAUUAUUAUUUCUGCUAUUAGCAGUAAACUUUAUUGUUAUACUUACUUAUUAUCUUACCUAUCAUUUUUUGAUCGCCUAAUCAUUAAAAGAACUUAUUCAAAAUGACUAAUUGUGAACAAUGUAAAUGUACUGCAAAUUGCAAGUGUUGCAUUAAAACUUGCCCCGAAAGUGAAUCUCAAAAAAAUGUUAAUGGAAAAUGCUGCUGUUGUUGUUGCUCAUGCUGUAAGGAUGAAUGUAAAUGUUCACCUGAAUGUAUUUGCAAAAAAAAAUAAAUGCACUUCCGAAAAGCCUACAGAAACAGAAUCUAAAUGUUGUAAAUGUUGAAUAUAUUAAAUAUUUAAUAAAAUAAACAAAGAUAACAUAAAUUUAAUGAGAAGAAUAAAAGUAAAGCAUUGAAUAAAUCUUGAAUUAGAUUCAAGAAACUUUCUAUCUUUCACAAAUAUGAAGAAAAAUAAGAAAUU
rnacentral:lncRNA from 1 species